rnacentral:rRNA from 1 species
GAUGAACGCUGGCGGCGUGCUUAACACAUGCAAGUCGAACGGAAAGGCCCAAGCUUGCUUGGGUACUCGAGUGGCGAACGGGUGAGUAACACGUGGGUGAUCUGCCCUGCACUUCGGGAUAAGCCUGGGAAACUGGGUCUAAUACCGGAUAGGACCACAUUUUGGAUGGUGUGGUGGAAAGUUUUUCGGUGUGGGAUGAGCUCGCGGCCUAUCAGCUUGUUGGUGGGGUAAUGGCCUACCAAGGCGUCGACGGGUAGCCGGCCUGGGAGGGUGUACGGCCACAUUGGGACUGAGAGACGGCCCAGACGCCUACGGGAGGCAGCAGUGGGGAAUAUUGCACAAUGGGCGCAAGCCUGAUGCAGCGACGCCGCGUGGGGGAUGACGGCCUUCGGGUUGUAAACUCCUGUCGCUAGGGACGAAGCGUUAUGUGACGGUACCUGGAGAAGAAGCACCGGCUAACUACGUG